CCCUUAGAUGUUCUGGGCCGCACGCGCGCUACACUGACGGAUUCAACGAGCUUACAACCUUGGCCGAAAGGUCUGGGUAAUCUCCAAAAUCCGUCGUGAUGGGGAUAGAUUAUUGCAAUUAUUAAUCUUCAACGAGGAAUGCCUAGUAAGCGCAAGUCAUCAGCUUGCGUUGAUUACGUCCCUGCCCUUUGUACACACCGCCCGUCGUUCCUACCGAUUGAAUGGUCCGGUGAAGCGUUUGGACUAUGGUUUUCUGAUGGUCCGCCGUUGGAUUACCGUGGGAAGUUCGUUAAACCUUAUCAUUUAGAGGAAGGAGAAGUCGUAACA
rnacentral:rRNA from 1 species